rnacentral:rRNA from 2 species
GUGCGAGACCGAUAGCGAACAAGUGCCGUGAGGGAAAGAUGAAAAGAACUUUGAAAAGAGAGUUAAAGAGUACCUGAAACUGCUGAAAGGGAACCGAAUCGUAUCCAGUGUCUAUAAUCCAUGGCAUAUUUCAUUGGCGAGUGAGUGCGUGCAGCGUUUUGGAAGUGGUUUUCCGCUCCUGUCGUUGUUGUGCAUUUGCUUGCUGGUGCCCUGUGCUGUGGUGGGACGUCAGAGUCAGUUUGUGUGUCGCGGGAAAUGGUUAUUGGGGAGGUAGGUCGCUUCGGUGGCUAUUAUAUCCUGGUAACUAGUCGUCGUGGCUGAGACUGAGGUGCCUACAAUGUGCUUUUGAGUGUGCCGGGUUCUCAUUUGGUGGACUGUUUGGAUAGCUUGCUAUGCUUGUGGUUUUUUCAUCGAGUGAUUGAGUCUGGUGGUAACUUGUUGCUGUUCGGGACUUUGA